UUUAUUUUUAUUUGAUGUUAAGAUUGAGGGGGAUUAGCUCCUUUUUUUACUUUUAUAAUUGGUUUGUGUUUAAUUUAGUUUUGUGGAUUUUAUGGUGAUUUUCUAUUUGAUUAUGUUAAAAUUUUAUUUGUUGUUUUUUUUGAUUUUUUUGUUAUUUAAGUUGUUUAUUGAAAUGUUUUCUUUACUUUUGGUUUGUAUAGUAAUUAUUGUGUAAUUAGUAAAUUUUAUUGGUUGUUUUGUUAGAUGAUGAGUGUUAAUUGCUUUUGAGGAAUUCGGCAAAGUUUUAUGUCCGCCUGUUUAACAAAAACAUCUUUUCUUGUUAGUUUUUGAAGUAUGGCCUGCCCACUGACGUUGGAGUUGAAGGGCCGCGGUAUUUUGACCGUGCAAAGGUACCAUAAUCAUUAGUUCUUUAAUUGUGAUCUGGUAUGAAUGGCUUGACGAGACAUAAGCUGUCUUAGAGGCAUUGGUUUAUUGAAUUUGGUUUUUGAGUUAAAAUUCUUAAAUGUUUUUAUGGGACGAGAAGACCCUAUAGAGUUUGACAGUUUUCUUAUUUUAUUUUUGUUUGUUUUGUUGUAUUGAGUGGGGAUUAUUGUUUUGUUGGGGUGAUGGGAGGAAAUUAAAGUAACUCCUCUUUGUUUU
rnacentral:rRNA from 1 species